rnacentral:rRNA from 1 species
GACAGAGGUGCCAAGCGUUAGGCGGAAUCACUGGGCUUAAAGCGUGUGUAGGUGGAUGCCUAAGUGCCUUGUGAAAUCCCACGGCUCAACCGUGGAAUUGCUGGGCAUACUGGGUGUCUUGAGCCAUCCAGGGGUCGCUGGAACAAGUGGUGGAGCGGUGAAAUGCGUAGAUAUCACUUGGAACGCCAAUGGUGAAAACAGGCGACUGGGGAUGUGCUGACACUGAGACACGAAAGCCAGGGGAGCAAACGGG